UGGGCCGGGUCGGCCCGCUGGGUCACUGACCCGGCCCGAAAUCUCGAGGCCAAUGGGCCAGGUGGGUUGGCCUCGAAUCAUAAAAUGGGUCAGUGGAGCCGGCACCGUGUGACCCGAUGGACCAGACGGGUCGACCCAGCCGUCUGAUCGCGCUGCCCUAGUCCAUCUCUGCCGCCGCCCACCACGAUCUCUGUAGGCUGCUCCCGACGAUUUCUGCCGCCACCGGCCAUCUCUGCCGCCCUCGGCCUCCCCCGACCUUCUCUACCGGCCGCCCCCGACCAUCUCUGCCGGCGCGGGCUGCCCCUGAACAUCUCUGCUGGCCUGCUGCCGCCGGCGUUCCUCCCGCCUCUCGUUCGUCGUAUUGGUCGCCGUCGAGCUCGCUGACCUGCGGUCCCGUCCACCGUCUACCUCGCCAUUCCGGUCGCCGUCAUCAUCUCGCAGUAUUGAUUCUGCUACUUUCGGUCAGUGUACUCUGUAGCCAUGGGAUCAGUCAUUCAGUCAGUGUUGGUCCCUGUCAGUCAUUCAGUCAGUGUACUCCCAGGUCAUGCCUUACUUUCAGUGUUGGUUCUGUAGUAGUUCUACGGUGUUGGUCCCUGUCAUUCAGUCAGUGUACAUGAACAAGUACAUGAAGAACUAGAUCAUAUUUGAUUGGAAAUGUUUUAUAUGAA